GGCCCGGUGGCUCAGCUGGUUAGAGCGCCGCCCUGUCACGGCGGAGGUCGUGGGUUCGAACCCCAUCCGGGUCGCUA
rnacentral:tRNA from 5 species